UUCUGUGAUAUGUUUUCAUGGUGUGGGAAUGAGACUUGGUGGUCUAAUACAGCUAAUACGAAGGUUAGCAUCACAGCUUGUCUGUAAAGAUUGAAGCUGGGAGUGGGCAUUGGAGCUGACUUUUAUGGUAACUGUGGCUGCAUAAAAGGGCUAUGUGAUUUUACUGUAACAGUAAAGAAUGUAAUUCAGACUAUUUUUGUGUAUGUUUGAGAAAAUGUUUAUUAUAAUUUUUACAAAAAGAAAAAAAAAAUUAUGUACAGGUUCUCCAUUUUCAACAAGAUUGGAAGUUGUAGGUUAAUAGGUCUUUGAAAUUUCAAAAAUUACUUUCUAUUUUCUGUUCAUACUCAUGUCUAGGCAAAACACUUCCAGUAGUUUAAGAAUGGAGAAUCUAAAAAAAAAGAAAAGAAAAAAAUGUUCAAUUAUUGAAAUGUUUUUUUAUUUUUGCAAAUUGUAAUAUAUUUUUUCACCUUUGUGUAAUUUUUAGCUGAGUUUAUAACAAAGGGUAUAUUAUUUUAAGAAUAUUUUACAAGAAGCAUAGUUGAAGAAUAUCUUGAUGAAAGUAGAUUGAUUGAUUUUUGGUAUUUAACACCACUUUCAGCAUGAUUUGCUAUAUCUUGGCUGCUAGUUUUUAUUUGUGGAGACAGCCUGGUGAAAACAUCCCCUUCAACAGAGAAACUGGCAACUCUAGUCAAUUAAGAUUGACGUUAAACACACCUACAAUGUGAGGGUUCAGAGUGUUGACAGGCUAGUGAUACAGUAGUUGAACUACUUUGACCAUUCAGCCACCAUUACUCCAUCCACACUAAAUAUGUUAUUGAAAUGUGUUGAAUUUUUGUAAUUUAAUAAUUUUUUUAUUUUGAUUACCGGUAUACUAUUUAUGUUUUUUUGUUAUAUAUAACAAAGAUGUGGAGUUCUAACGGUGAAAUUUAGGUCAAAGGGAGGUAAUUUAUUAUACUGUGUUUAACUUCAAAUACUUGAAAUUCCCUCAAUGUUAGAUUUUUAUUUACUUGGAUACUC